GACGAACGCUGGCGGCGUGCUUAACACAUGCAAGUCGAACGGAAAGGCCCUGCUUUUGUGGGGUGCUCGAGUGGCGAACGGGUGAGUAACACGUGAGUAACCUGCCCUUGACUUUGGGAUAACUUCAGGAAACUGGGGCUAAUACCGGAUAGGAGCUCCUGCUGCAUGGUGGGGGUUGGAAAGUUUCGGCGGUUGGGGAUGGACUCGCGGCUUAUCAGCUUGUUGGUGGGGUGGUGGCUUACCAAGGCUUUGACGGGUAGCGGGCCUGGGAGGGUGACCGGCAACAUUGGGACUGAGAUACGGCCCAGAGUCCUACGGGAGGCAGCAGUGGGGAAUAUUGCACAAUGGGCGGAAGCCUGAUGCAGCAACGCCGCGUGCGGGAUGACGGCCUUCGGGUUGUAAACCGCUUUGGCCUGUGACGAAGCGUGAGUGACGGUAAUGGGUAAAGAAGCACCGGCUAACUACGUG
rnacentral:rRNA from 1 species